rnacentral:rRNA from 1 species
UACAGAGGGGGCAAGCGUUAUUCGGAAUUACUGGGCGUAAAGGGCUCGUAGGCGGCCAACUAAGUCAGACGUGAAAUCCCCAGGCUCAACCUGGGAACUGCGUCUGAUACUGGUUGGCUUGAAUCCGGGAGAGGGAUGCAGAAUUCCAGGUGUAGCGGUGAAAUGCGUAGAUAUCUGGAGGAAUACCGGUGGCGAAGGCGGCAUCCUGGACCGGCAUUGACGCUGAGGAGCGAAAGCCAGGGGAGCAAACGGG